rnacentral:tmRNA from 1 species
AAGGUAGCUAAAGCACCCUGAACGCCCUAUAUUGACUGUGCCGCGCAAGCGGCUAUGGCGCUAAACCUGCUGUGGCAUAGGCGUAGCGGACCCGGGGGCAGUACCCGGCGCCUCCACCAAAUUCGCCCGGUGCGGAAUGCAAGUUUCCACCGGGACCUUAUGGGGGCGAAUUAGGCUCGACGUGCGCAGUAAAGACAGUAGCUGUUCCCGGCAUGAUUCCACCGUUAUCGGGUCAUAUCUAAAAGUGCCAACGACAACGUUGCACUCGUUGAGGACGUUCGCCUCGCUGCCUAACGGCCGCUAGGUAAUAUACGUCCAAAGCGCGGUUCGGGGGGGCACCGGGCAACAGAAGCCCCCCCACU